CCGCGAGUGCGGCCUCGGCCUGCGGCGGCUCCAGGAAUAUUAGCCCUGAGCUAACUACUGCCAGUCCUCCUCUUUUUUGCUGAGGAUGCCUGGCCCUGAGCUAACAUCUGUGCCCAUCUUCCUCUACUUUAUAUGUGGGACGCCUACCACAGCAUGGCAUACCAAGCGAUGCCUUGUCCGCACCCGGGAUCCGAACCGGCAAACCCUGGGCCGCUGAGAAGCAGAACGUGCGCACCUAACCGCUGCGCCACCGGGCCGGCCCCUAUAUAUUUUAUAUAAAGGACUUGAGCAUCCCUAGAUUUUGGUAUCCGCAGGGAGUCCUGGAACCAGUAUGCUGCGGAUGCUGAGGGACAGCUAUACGUAUUCUGCAAUGUGCUGUUCUUUCUCUGCAUGGCUUUGAGAUUUCUCCACGUUGGGGACUGUAGCUUGAGUUCUAGUUUGCUCAUUUCACCCGUUGUCUAGUGUUCUUCUAAUUACUGUGUCGCUACACCCAUUCCCCUGAGGAUGGACAUUCUGGUGUCCAGUGCUUGCUCUAAGAACAAGGCUGUGAUGUAUGGUCUUGAAUGUGUUGCACUCUGAGCUGUGCUCCUUCAGAGAAGGGAACUGGUUCAUUUCUCUUCACAUCCCCCUCAGCACCUAGCUUAGUUCUUUAAAUUGUGCUUGAUGAAUGUGCUUUGUCUGCCCGAGGAAGCGGUCUUCCCAUUAUAUUGUACUCUGUACUCGCAGUAGGUGUAGUUGCUGUUCAUCUCUUCCCAAGAGGACAGAGGGGCUGCUGUGCUCACAGCAGGUGGGGGCCCACCGGGGGCCUCCAUGUCUGUUGGGGCAGUUGGUCCUCAAAGCCAUCCCCAGAGAAGGAGGCCCUCUUGACUCCAUGAUGGAAGGACCUGGGUGGUGAUGGAAGGACCAUGAUGGUCCUGGUGGUGAGGAGGAAGCCAAGGCUUGGAGAUAUGAGCUAAGUGCCCAGAGUUGGGUGGUUGGCCAAUGGCACAACCAGCCAUGGAAUGUUGAGGUGUGAGUGAGAUAAAGCCCCAGCCCCCAAGGGGACAAACCUCCUUGUGGUGGGUAGAUAGGACAGCUUCAGUGGUGAAGCACUCCUGUCAUGUUCUUGACACAGUGACAGAAGUGAUUGAGCUGGACCUUGACCAAUACAGGGUUAUAAGAGACAGAAAGGCCUGGAUGGGAGUCUGAAGGUGUUCAGAGGAUGAUAGGUGUCCCUUUUGGUCUAAGGGCUAGUGACAGCUUACAGGGGAAGGAGCGUUUUGAGCCAGAUCACGAGGAAGAGCCUCAAGCAGGAGGCAGUAGGGCGCCAGAAGUCAGGUGGCACACUCUGAGGCGUUUUGGGGAGUCAGGGAGGUUGGGGCAGGAGGUAGGAAACCAGUUGGGGUGUCACUGCUGCAUUCUAACCCGAAGUGGUAGCUGUGAAGGAAUAAGGGAUGACUGUCUGAGAUGGGAGAGAGGAAGGAAUCCAAACAAGAGAGUCUGUCGGACCCCAGGGGUACAAAGGAAGAGAGAUCAUUGAGACCCAGUAACAGAACUAGACCAGUUGGGAGGGCUGUUAGCUGUAUUAGGC
rnacentral:lncRNA from 1 species